GAGGCUCAGACCCGUCCCGCAGCGCCCGCGACCCUCGCCUCGCCGCGACCCCCACGGUCACCCGGGGCAGCCGCUGCUCAGAUGUCUUCCUCAAGCUGUCUGUGUCUCCUGACCCUCGUGGGCCUCAUUGUCCUCCCUGAAGGAAAGCCGUUGAUGAAUGCAACUAUUUCUCCAGGAAACUCAACCACUCUGAGCAUCCACACCCAAACUCAAAUUCAAGAAACAGAUUCCCCGGAAGUCCAGUCCCAACCUCCAACCCCAGCCCUGCAGCCUAAUGAGCAAACAUUUGAAAGCACUCUCCAGGCCCUGUAGGAGCUUGACCUGGCUCUCUCCUGACCCUCUGCUCCCCACAGAAGGAUUAGAGAUGGUUCACAAGAAACCACAAAGAAGCAG